rnacentral:rRNA from 1 species
UAAUACGUAGGGUGCAAGCGUUGUCCGGAUUUAUUGGGCGUAAAGAGCUCGUAGGCGGUUAGACACGUCGGAUGUGAAAACUCGGGGCUCAACCCCCGAGCCUGCAUUCGAUACGGUCUGACUUGAGUGUGGUAGGGGUAACUGGAAUUCCUGGUGUAGCGGUGAAAUGCGCAGAUAUCAGGAGGAACACCGAUGGCGAAGGCAGGUUACUGGGCCAUUACUGACGCUGAGGAGCGAAAGCGUGGGGAGCGAACAGGAUUAGAUACCCUGGUAGUCCACGCCGUAAACGGUGGGCGCUAGAUGUGGGGACCAUUCCAUGGUUUCUGUGUCGCAGCUAACGCAUUAAGCGCCCCGCCUGGGGAGUACGGUCGCAAGACUAAAACUCAAAGGAAUUGACGGGGGCCCGCACAAGCAGCGGAGCAUGCGGCUUAAUUCGACGCAACGCGAAGAACCUUACCAAGGCUUGACAUAUACAGGAAUAUGGCAGAGAUGUCAUAGCC